CGACGAUGACGCUGUUCUAAUCUCACUUUAUCGUUCAGGUUGACUGUGCUCACAGCCCAUUAGAUGGCCACUGCUUCGCUGCCUCGAAAGUUCCUGUGCCCAUGUCCGCUACAGUCAUCUACGACGAGGAGGAGAAAUUUGCUCUCUCCUAUGGAGCUCAUUGGAAACGGUACGCACAAGUUCUCGUGAAGUUUCUAGUCAGACGGACGGAAGAGACCGCAGCGUACCUUCAUCGUAUGAUAUAUCUUCUUCAUCAGAUACAUUAAUACAUAAAGCUCGCCCGGUGUUGUCUUCGCUCACGGUUCACUAUGUACGACAACCAACUAAACGUUCCACUAUGA